UACGAAGGGGGCUAGCGUUGCUCGGAAUCACUGGGCGUAAAGCGCACGUAGGCGGCUUUGUAAGUUAGAGGUGAAAGCCCGGGGCUCAACUCCGGAACUGCCUUUAAGACUGCAUCGCUUGAAUCCAGGAGAGGUGAGUGGAAUUCCGAGUGUAGAGGUGAAAUUCGUAGAUAUUCGGAAGAACACCAGUGGCGAAGGCGGCUCACUGGACUGGUAUUGACGCUGAGAAGCGAAAGCAUGGGGAGCGAACAGG
rnacentral:rRNA from 1 species